GGCGUGCUCGAAAAUGUUAAAGUUCUUAUUUCAUGGUAUAACUUUGGUAUGCUUGGACCUAGAGUCUUCAAACUUGACAUGAAGGUUGGCCAGGAUUAACAGAUGACCACUGGUCAUUUCAAGGUCAUUCAUUUGAAGGUGAAGGUCACUGUGACCUUCAAUAUAAAAAUGUUAAAGUUGUUAUAACUUUGGUAUGCUUGGACCUAGAGUCUUGAAACUUGACAUGAAGGUUGGCCAGAACUAGUAAGUAACCACUGGACAUUUCAAGGUCAUUCAUUUGAAGGUCAAGGUCACUGUGACCUUGAAUGUAAAAAUGUUAAAGUUGUUAUAACUUUGGUAUGCUUGGACCUAGAGUCUUGAAACUUGACAUGAAGGUUGGCCAUAACUAGUUAGUAACCACUGGUCAUUUCAAGGUCAUUCAUUUGAAGGUCAAGGUCACUGUGACCUUGAAUGUAAAAAUGUUAAAGUUCUUAUUUCAUGGUAUAACUUUGGUAUGCUUGGACCUAGAGUCUUCAAACUUGACAUGAAGGUUGGCCAGGAUUAACAGAUGACCACUGGUCAUUUCAAGGUCAUUCAUUUGAAGGUGAAGGUCACUGUGACCUUCAAUAUAAAAAUGUUAAAGUUGUUAUAACUUUGGUAUGCUUGGACCUAGAGUCUUGAAACUUGACAUGAAGGUUGGCCAGAACUAGUAAGUAACCACUGGACAUUUCAAGGUCAUUCAUUUGAAGGUCAAGGUCACUGUGACCUUGAAUGUAAAAAUGUUAAAGUUGUUAUAACUUUGGUAUGCUUGGACCUAGAGUCUUGAAACUUGACAUGAAGGUUGGCCAGAACUAGUAAGUAACCACUGGACAUUUCAAGGUCAUUCAUUUGAAGGUCAAGGUCACUGUGACCUUGAAUGUAAAAAUGUUAAAGUUCUUAUUUCAUGUUAUAACUUUGGUAUGCUUGUACCUAGAGUCUUCAAACUUGAAAUAAAGAUUGGCCAGUACUAGAAGAUGACCACUGGUCAUUUCAAUGUCAUUCAUUUGAAGGUCAAGGUCACUGUGACCUUCAAUGUUAAAAUGUUAAAAUUGUUAUAACUUUGGUAUGCUUGGACCUAGAAUCUCAAACUUGACGUAAAGGUUUGCAAGCACACUUAGAUGACCACUGGUCAUUUCAAGGUCAUUCAUUUCAAUGUCAUUCAUUUGAAGGUCAAGGUCACUGUGAACUUAAAUGUUAAAAUGUUAAAAUUGUUGUAACUUUGGUACUUUCCUGUCAUUUAAAUCAAAAAUCCGGCUUCAAUGCGGUCAUCUCCGACCGCGGAACUCUUGUUUAUU